ACACAGGCGAUUUCCAGAUCUAGGGUUUCAAUAACCCUGAAUCGUUCAUUUUCUCUCAAUCCGACAGAAGAUCCAGUGGGGUUGACCUCUAGAAGAUCCACUGGGUUUUUCUCUAAUCGGCACAAGAUCCACUGUGGAUGACAUCUAGGUACCGUUAUAAAACCACAUCUAAUGUUUUUUGUUUGUUAUUUGAGUCUGAUUUGGAUCUGGUUAAAAUUCUGUUUGCGAGGCAAUGCUUGAACGGGUCUCUGACAUGAUGGAAAAGGAUUUGAUUCUUGUUGGUGCAACUGGUAUAAACCAUCUUCUCCGAGAUCGGUUGCUGCUUAUGUUAAUCCUCAUCGUCUUCUGUUCAGAUCUUGUUUUAAUACCGAUCUGCGAAAGUUUUGGAUGAUUCUGGAUUUGUUAUUGUGUUAGGAGAUGUCGUGUUCCUCAAGCCUGAACAGGGCUAUGAGGUUUUGAAGAGAGUUGUUGAUGUGAUUGGG